GAUCAUCAAGGGUAGAACCUUGCUGCUAGGUUGCUAUGGAAACAGGAUCUCAAUAUUGAUAUGUACCAGGGAAGUGUCUUCUUGUUAACCAGCUCCAGAGUGUGUGGUUCACUAUUUGUCAGAAAUAGUGCGAAAACUUUGAUCCUGGCUUGUAUUGGUGGUGGGGUGGUUAAGGAGGGACUUUAUGUCAUGUUCACUUGCCUAGGGGUCUGUUGAUUUGUCAGAGUGUGGGGCCUACCUAGUAUUGGAGACUUGGAGACUUGCUAUGUACUCCUUCUUUGAGGCUGGAUACUGCUGAUCUUGGACCUUGCUUCCCUUCCACCCAAGUAAGAAAGAUCUUUCCUACAAUUCUGAUGCAGAAAAUAUACCCGAAAGAUGUUAAGUCAUUUCCCCAAUCCACACAGGAAUUAAGUGACAAAGGUUUAGGUAACAGUGCCAUAUUUACAUCAAAGAAGAAAUUUGACAUGACCCCUUCAUCCAAAGCACCUCUGGGAUAUCUUAUUGUGGCCAGCUACCAAUUCAUAUGUU